CUUUUCCAUUGCCUGGAUCUGCUCCAGGCAGGCUGUCUGCCUCUCUUCCAGCUUCUCCUGGUGACGCUCCAGGGUCUCUGUCAUCUGGGUUCAGGUAAGAGACAGAGAAUCAGACAGACAGGCAAGCAGCAUAAAGGCUGGACCCCAGCUUUCAUCUCAGCUAGCCAGCAGUGAGACUCUGGGGCAAACUCCUUAACCUCUGGGCAGCUUUUGCAAUGUGUAAAGUGAGGUAAUCGCACUGGGGAUUGUGAAGGAUCACAUGUCUGGUCCACAGGAAGCCCCUGUCAUAGUGCCUGACACGAGGUCAGGCCACAGUAGGUGGCAGACCUGUUACUGUGGUCAGCAGUGCCCAGGGAAGGAGUUUUAGGUCCAUUCUCAGCAGUGUUUCCCUUCCCCUUUCCAUUCCAUGGUGCCCCAGGAAGCCUUCCUCUCCCGCCCCAUCCAAUCCCAUUCUUCCAGGACCUGCUAACUCAUGUUUCCCAGGCCAGUCCCUCCUGGCUGGCAGGCUCCACCCACAGGCCAGAACCUUGGGAAACUUCCUCUCAUUCCUAGCUGCAUGGACACUUCUGGGCAGCCUGCUUUCAGGGCUCAAAGGAAGGACACUCACAUCCCCCACACAAACCUAUGGUGAGAAUGGUUGGGAAGGACACGGCCCUGCAUACCUGCUUGACAGCCUGGACCACUUCCUGGAUGUGGGAGUUGUUAAUUUCUCUCUUGAGCCUGUUGAUACAAUUGGAGUUUUAUAAAGGGACAGAGUCCAUAAAUUAUCCUAAGGGUACGACAAACAAGAACUCCAUCACUGAAGCAGGGAGGAGCAGAGAGACCAACAUGGAAGAUGGGGAAGAACUAUUGAGAGUCCUGGGUCCACUUCCUCGUUAAAACACUCUGACAGAAAGUCAUCUAGGGUGGGCACAGUGGCAAAUGCAGACAUCUAAGGGAACAGGCUGCUACCGAUACUGGCUUAGUGAAUGGAGAGGAAGCUGACAGCUCGGGGCCAGGCACAGGUCUCCUACCUGCCCAGGUGUCAGGUCCCUGGGAUGGACAGUUUUGGUUGUUAACUUGACUGCAUCUGAUAUGAACUAAAACCAAGCUGCUGGGCGCUG
rnacentral:lncRNA from 1 species